CUUGUCGGAGUGCCUGUAAGGCUGAGAUCGCGAAAGUGGGAUCCGUCGAACCUGAUCUGGUUAAAACCAGCGUAGGGAACAAGAGUAAA
rnacentral:ncRNA from 1 species